rnacentral:rRNA from 1 species
AUGGAGACGCUGCAGCCGAUCCAGCAAACCCUGGGCGAGAUCGACAAACAGAUCCCCGGCGCCCUCCGCACCGCGUUUGGCCUCGAGAAGUGAGCCUCGCGCUCCUCCGAGGACGCCAUCGCCAGCUUCUUCGCGCUAUAUCUAGAGCCGCCGCAUCCUCGGGAGCGCCGCGAGCGCGACGGCGACGAGCCGCGGGCUCUGAGGAUGAUCUGGGCCUCAUGCUACGCGCCGCGCCACAACGAGGACGCACACUUCGGGCACAACGAGGCCGGCAUCGUCGGCGUGGCGGACGGCGGCGGGUACCGCAACAAAGGCGUGGACGCCGGUGCGUUCUCGCGCAGGCUCAUGAAGAGCGCCUUCCUGCAGGUGCUGGCGACCGAGCCCGGCCCGCCCGUCUGCCCGUACACGCUGCUGGAGCAGGCGUACAAGGAAACGGUCGCCUCGGCCGCGGACGGGGGGUCGACGGCGGUCAUCCUCUCGCUCGCCGGCACGGCUCUCAAGUGGGCGUUCAUCGGCGAUAGCGCGUUCUCCGUGUUCUGAGACGGCAGGCUCAACCGUUCGCAGCGGCAGCAGAGGCGUUUCAACUACCCGUUCCAGCUCAAUGCGACCGGCAAAGGGGAGCGCGUGAACAAAGCCGACGUCAGGAAAAUGGCGGUGAGACACGGGGACGUCGUGGUGCUCGGGACAGACGGGCUGUUCGACAACAUGUUCGACGCAGAGCUGGAGGUGGUCGUCCGGAUGGGCAUGGCGCUGGGCUUGUCACCCAAGAACAUGGCAGACGUCGUCGCGGGCAUCGCUUACGAGAUGUCGACGAGCAAAACCAAAGACUCGCCGUACAACGCCGACAGCCGGAGGCUGAAAAGAGACCACCGCCGUGGUGGGAAGCCAUACGAUAUCACUGUCGUCGUCGCGUUCAUUGUCUCUCUGUACUCUUGA